UACGAAGGGGGGCUAGCGUUGACUCGGAAUCACGUGGGCGUAAAGGGUGCGUAGGCGGGUUUUAAGUCAGAGGUGAAAUCCCGGAGCUCAACUUCGGAACUGCCUUUGACUAACUGGCAAUCUCGAGUCCGGAAGAGGUUAGUGGGAAUUCCCAGUGUAGAGGUGAAAUUCGUAGAUAUUCGGAAGAACACCGGUGGCGAAAGCGGCUCACUGGAUCUCUUCUGACGCUGAGGCACGAAAGCUA
rnacentral:rRNA from 1 species